rnacentral:misc_RNA from 1 species
GAUGAAGAACGCAGCAAAAUGCGAUACUUGGUGUGAAUUGCAGAAUCCCGUGAACCAUCGAGUUUUUGAACGCAAGUUGCGCCCGAAGCCUUUUGGCCGAGGGCACGUCUGCCUGGGCGUCACGCAUCGCGUCGCCCCCCACAAUUCUCCGUAAAGGGAACGUGUGUAUUGGGGGCGGAUAUUGGUCUCCCGUGCUCAUGGCGUGGUUGGCCGAAAUAGGAGUCCUUUCGAUGGACGCACGAACUAGUGGUGGUCGUAAAAACCCUCGUCUUUUGUUUCGUGCUGUUGCUCGCAAGGUAAACUCUUUAAAAACCCCAAUGUGUCGUCUCUUGACGACGCUUCGACCGCGACCCCAGGUCAGGCGGGACUACCCGCUGAGUUUAAGCAUAUCAAUAAGCGGAGGA